rnacentral:rRNA from 1 species
CUCCCCUAAAGUUCGGACCGCACGCGCGCUACACUGACGGACCAGCGAGUUUAUCACCUUGUCCGGAAGGACUGGGUAAUCUUGUGAAACUUUGUCGUGCUGGGGAUAGAGCAUUGCAAUUAUUGCUCUUCAACGAGGAAUUCCUAGUAAGCGUGAGUCAUCAGCUCGCGUUGAUUACGUCCCUGCCCUUUGUACACACCGCCUGUCGCUACUACCGAUUGGUGCGUUUAGUGAGCACUUGGGACUGGCGUUUGGGAGCCGGCAACGGCACCUGAUUGCUGGAAACUUGUGCAAACUUGGCGCACUAGAGGAAGUAAAAGUCAUAACAAGGUUUCUGUAGGUGAACCUGCAGAAGGAUCAUUAGUGAACUAAAGGGAUACCAUUCUAUGGUUCCCAAACCCUCACCAUAAUCCAUAAACACCUGUGCACUGCUGGAUAGAUGGGGGAUGUAUUCAUCCCUUUCAUCUGCCGGCGCCUAUUUACAAACUCUGAGUUAAUUGAAUGUGAAGUUAUACUUGUCAUUUUUGACAGAACUAAACAUAACUUUCGACAACGGAUCUCUUGGUUCUCCCAUCGAUGAAGAACGCAGCGAAACGCGAUAGGUAAUGUGAAUUGCAGAAUUCAGUGAAUCAUCGAAUCUUUGAACGCACCUUGCGCUCCUUGGUAUUCCGAGGAGCAUGCCUGUUUGAGUGUCAUGAAUACCUCAAAUCCCAAUGUUUUCCGAAUAGGAAUCCGUUGCUUGGGUUUGGUUGUGGGCCAUGAAUUGCUGUGUCAAAACAACUGGCCUUAAAGAAAUAACUGGACUAUCCACUCUUGGUAGUUCCCCUUGAUGUGAAAAAUUGCAUGGGGGGCCAAAACUGCUAAAGGAAAAAAAAGUCUGCUUCAACCCGGCGCGGGGGUCAAACCUCACCCAUUAUUUACUCUUGGCCUCAAUCAGGAGGAUUCCCCUGAAUUAGCUUUCAUAACGGAGGAAAAAAUAACAGGUUCC